GUCUCAUGUCAUCAGGUUCUGUGAUACAAUCAAACACCUCAAUCUGUUGAACUGCCACAUUCAGUGUGAAGAUCUCCAGCGGCUGGGACCGGUUCUGCACAAGUGUCAGCACUUGGGACUGGGAGGCAACGACCUGUGAUAUUCCGGAGUGAAACUGGUGUCUGCGGCUCUGAGGAUCCCGGACUGUAAAAUACAGACACUGGGGCUGGAAAAUGUCGGUCUCACAGAUUCUGGAGCCGAGGAUCU